rnacentral:tRNA from 1 species
AGGUAAUUAGUUUAAUGAAAACACUUGAUUUCGGCUCAAGAACUUAUGGUUAUAGUCCAUAAUCACCUA